rnacentral:tRNA from 1 species
AGAUCAUAUGGUAAUACA